AUGCAAGUGAAAAGAGAUGCAAGUAGAAUGAAGUAGCAACGAAACGAAACCCAACCAUUUCAUUUAUGACAACAGUUACAACAGCUCGUCAUUGUUCAAUAGAACCAUAGCUUCUAAAUGGAAACCUCUAAAACGCUUUGAAAGCUGAAAUCUGUGACUGGCUUUUAUAAACUUUGCUUACAAACUGAAACCUCUCAACAACGCUAUUAAAGCCGAAGCCUCUUGGUGGUGAAACCUCGCUGCAACGCUUUUAAAGCCGAAGCUUCUUGGCGGAAUUCGAACUUGGUUUCUAAAGCUAAACCCUUCAUUAAACUUAGCUAUGCCCCGACUCUCAGACUCUGAAACUGGACUCGGAUCCUACCGAACCCAAAGCAUAGUUUCUAGUUUCUAAAGUUGGACUCGAAGCAUGUUGUCACGUAUCGUAUUGUAUUAUGAUCGGUAAGUACCAAAAGUUAUAUUUUAUAUUCUCGCUUACAAAACAUAUCGGAAUGAAAAUGAGCCGAGCCGAGCCGAGCCAAGCAUAAACUCGUCUUAACUCGAGGGUAGUUAACAGUUCGUCUAAAAGUUCACAUCAGAAGUGACAAAACCGGACCAUCCCAAAAUUCCCAGGCAUAUAUAGUCGAAAUAAGUACUUACAUACAUCGGGUAAAAAGGGUAAUUUCAUUAUAAGUUGAAACGAGUCG
rnacentral:lncRNA from 1 species